rnacentral:rRNA from 1 species
UACGGAGGGUGCAAGCGUUAAUCGGAAUUACUGGGCGUAAAGUGUGCGCAGGCGGUUUGUUAAGUCCGUUGUGAAAGCCCCGAGCUCAACUUGGGAAUUGCAGUGGAUACUGGCAGGCUGGAGUACGGUAGAGGAAGGAGGAAUUCCCGGUGUAGCAGUGAAAUGCGUAGAGAUGUGGAGGAACACCGAUGGCGAAGGCAGCCCCCUGGGCCGAUACUGACGCUCAGGCACGAAAGCGUGGGGAGCAAACAGG